UCAAACUUGGUCAUUUAGAGGAAGUAAAAGUCGUAACAAGGUUUCCGUAGGUGAACCUGCGGAAGGAUCAUUAAAAGUUGGGCGUUCCGCCCGUCAACUUUUGACCCUGUGAACCGUCCCGUUUGCUUCGGCGGGCCGACUUCGUAAGGAGUCCGGCUGGUCUCUCCGGCUGGAGCGCCCGCCAGAAGACUUUUUUUUCUCAAUUUUUGGUGCCUGUCUGAAAAAAAAGCAAAACGUUAAAACUUUCAACAACGGAUCUCUUGGUUCUCGCAUCGAUGAAGAACGCAGC
rnacentral:misc_RNA from 1 species